AUUGAACGCUGGCGGCAUGCCUUACACAUGCAAGUCGAACGGCAGCACGAAAGAGCUUGCUCUUUUGGUGGCGAGUGGCGAACGGGUGAGUAAUGCAUCGGAACGUACCGAGUAAUGGGGGAUAACUGUCCGAAAGGAUAGCUAAUACCGCAUACGCUUUGAGAAGGAAAGUGGGGGCUCUUCGGACCUCACGUUAUUCGAGCGGCCGAUGUCUGAUUAGCUAGUUGGUGGGGUAAAGGCCUACCAAGGCGACGAUCAGUAGCGGGUCUGAGAGGAUGAUCCGCCACACUGGGACUGAGACACGGCCCAGACUCCUACGGGAGGCAGCAGUGGGGAAUUUUGGACAAUGGGCGCAAGCCUGAUCCAGCCAUGCCGCGUGUCUGAAGAAGGCCUUCGGGUUGUAAAGGACUUUUGUUAGGGAAGAAAAGGAUAGUGUUAAUACCAUUAUCUGCUGACGGUACCUAAAGAAUAAGCACCGGCUAACUACGU
rnacentral:rRNA from 1 species